rnacentral:rRNA from 1 species
GACGAACGCUGGCGGCGUGCUUAACACAUGCAAGUCGAACGGAAAGGCCCUGCUUUUGUGGGGUGCUCGAGUGGCGAACGGGUGAGUAACACGUGAGUAACCUGCCCUUGACUUUGUGAUAACUUCAGGAAACUGGGGCUAAUACCGGAUAGGAGCUCCUGCUGCAUGGUGGGGGUUGGAAAGUUUCGGCGGUUGGGGAUGGACUCGCGGCUUAUCAGCUUGUUGGUGGGGUAGUGGCUUACCAAGGCUUUGACGGGUAGCCGGCCUGAGAGGGUGACCGGCCACAUUGGGACUGAGAUACGGCCCAGACUCCUACGGGAGGCAGCAGUGGGGAAUAUUGCACAAUGGGCGGAAGCCUGAUGCAGCAACGCUGCGUGCGGGAUGCCGGCCUUCGGGUUGUAAACAGCUUUCGACUGUGACGAAGCGUGAGUGACGGUAAUGGGUAAAGAAGCACCGGCUAACUACGUG